AUUCGUCGCCUACAAGCCUCCACGGACACCGCCAUAGAGCACGUAUUUAUUCUUCCUUUAUCCGAGAACAAAACCCUAAUCGGAAAAACCCCCUGAAAAAACAAAACAAAAAAUUAAAAAAGAAAAAGAAAGCGAUGUCGUACGACGACGUGGAGAUCGAAGACAUGGAGUGGAACGAGGAGUUACAGGCGUACACGUACCCUUGCCCGUGCGGCGAUUUAUUCCAAAUCACGAAAGACGAGCUCCGAAUCGGCGAGGAAAUCGCCCGGUGCCCCAGCUGCUCUCUGUACAUCACCGUUAUUUACAACAUCGAAGACUUCCUCGACAAUAAAUCAAAAGAAAAGCUCGA
rnacentral:lncRNA from 1 species